rnacentral:rRNA from 1 species
GGGAGCUUGCUCCCUGAUGUUAGCGGCGGACGGGUGAGUAACACGUGGGUAACCUGCCUGUAAGACUGGGAUAACUCCGGGAAACCGGGGCUAAUACCGGAUGGUUGUUUGAACCGCAUGGUUCAAACAUAAAAGGUGGCUUCGGCUACCACUUACAGAUGGACCCGCGGCGCAUUAGCUAGUUGGUGAGGUAACGGCUCACCAAGGCAACGAUGCGUAGCCGACCUGAGAGGGUGAUCGGCCACACUGGGACUGAGACACGGCCCAGACUCCUACGGGAGGCAGCAGUAGGGAAUCUUCCGCAAUGGACGAAAGUCUGACGGAGCAACGCCGCGUGAGUGAUGAAGGUUUUCGGAUCGUAAAGCUCUGUUGUUAGGGAAGAACAAGUACCGUUCGAAUAGGGCGGUACCUUGACGGUACCUAACCAGAAAGCCACGGCUAACUACGUGCCAGCAGCCGCGGUAAUACGUAGGUGGCAAGCGUUGUCCGGGAAUUAUUGGGCGUAAAGGGCUCGCAGGCGGUUUCUUAAGUCUGAUGUGAAAGCCCCCGGCUCAACCGGGGAGGGUCAUUGGAAACUGGGGAACUUGAGUGCAGAAGAGGAGAGUGGAAUUCCACGUGUAGCGGUGAAAUGCGUAGAGAUGUGGAGGAACACCAGUGGCGAAGGCGACUCUCUGGUCUGUAACUGACGCUGAGGAGCGAAAGCGUGGGGAGCGAACAGGAUUAGAUACCCUGGUAGUCCACGCCGUAAACGAUGAGUGCUAAGUGUUAGGGGGUUUCCGCCCCUUAGUGCUGCAGCUAACGCAUUAAGCACUCCGCCUGGGGAGUACGGUCGCAAGACUGAAACUCAAAGGAAUUGACGGGGGCCCGCACAAGCGGUGGAGCAUGUGGUUUAAUUUCGAAGCAACGCGAAGAACCUUACCAGGUCUUGACAUCCUCUGACAAUCCUAGAGAUAGGACGUCCCCUUCGGGGGCAGAGUGACAGGUGGUGCAUGGUUGUCGUCAGCUCGUGUCGUGAGAUGUUGGGUUAAGUCCCGCAACGAGCGCAACCCUUGAUCUUAGUUGCCAGCAUUCAGUUGGGCACUCUAAGGUGACUGCCGGUGACAAACCGGAGGAAGGUGGGGAUGACGUCAAAUCAUCAUGCCCCUUAUGACCUGGGCUACACACGUGCUACAAUGGACAGAACAAAGGGCAGCGAAACCGCGAGGUUAAGCCAAUCCCACAAAUCUGUUCUCAGUUCGGAUCGCAGUCUGCAACUCGACUGCGUGAAGCUGGAAUCGCUAGUAAUCGCGGAUCAGCAUGCCGCGGUGAAUACGUUCCCGGGCCUUGUACACACCGCCCGUCACACCACGAGAGUUUGUAACACCCGAAGUCGGUGAGGUAACCUUUUAGGAGCCAGC